GAUGAACGCUGGCGGUGUGCCUAAUACAUGCAAGUCGUACGCAUUCUCGUUUCUGAUUGACGGUGCUUGCACCUAAUUGACGAGACAUUGGAAUGAGUGGCGGACGGGUGAGUAACACGUGGGUAACCUGCCCAGAAGUGGGGGAUAACAUUUGGAAACAGAUGCUAAUACCGCAUAAAAGUCAAAACCACAUGGUUUUGAUUUAGAAGAUGGCCUUUGUGCUAUCACUUCUGGAUGGACCCGCGGCGUAUUAGCUAGUUGGUAAGGUAACGGCUUACCAAGGCAAUGAUACGUAGCCGAACUGAGAGGUUGAUCGGCCACAAUGGGACUGAGACACGGCCCAUACUCCUACGGGAGGCAGCAGUAGGGAAUCUUCCACAAUGGGCGCAAGCCUGAUGGAGCAACACCGCGUGAGUGAAGAAGGGUUUCGGCUCGUAAAACUCUGUUGUUAAAGAAGAACGUAUCUAAGAGCAACUGCUUAGGUAGUGACGGUAUUUAACCAGAAAGCCACGGCUAACUACGUGCCAGCCGCCGCAGUAA
rnacentral:rRNA from 1 species